UGUGAGGUGUGAAGCCCUGGAUAUAGUGUAGAACGACAGCUGAAAGAUGUCACUAUUUAUCAUUAUGGAAAUCUGACGGACCCUUGCUGUGACUCUGACAGUUUGGGUGAAAAAUAAAUAAAUAACGAAACAGGAGAGGAAGGAGUAUGUUUUAAAGUAUGGCUCCAAAUUGGUAAAAGAGGCAUGACGUUUCCUUUGCCUUGGGCAGUUGGCCUGGGUACACUGCAGGUGCUCCAAGGCUAAAUUUUCCCGUGGUAUCCACUUGUGUUCUAUGUACCCAGUUGACUCUACGUCAGCUCUCGCAGUUAUUAAGAGGUAGCCCAAACACAUGCCCAUGUCCACAUGUCCAAAGUAAACUCGUGAAGAGCGACUGGAAUCUUAUAUCAUGGAUAGAUUGAGACUGGAAUCACAGGUGGUCAUGCACUAACCUAAUACAGGAAGGGCAUCUGCUCCUCUUUCACUCUGUAGGCCGAUGUCCAUCUUUCGCUGGCCUCCAGCACCUAUACGUGGCAUAUCAGAGGGAUAUUUAAGCUACAAGUCCAUCACCCCAAAACCAGAACAGUUUUCAGUUGAAAGGUUUCUUACCAAAGGAGCCAUAUUACUAUAGCCCAGCCGACACUUCUGCCGUGGUGAGCAAGGAGCAUCCAUCUGCAAGAAAACGACAUCAGAAAUAUCUCCAGUUUUCAUGCACAUGUUGGUUUUACUUUAUCUGUGAGAACAUCUCAUAGAUGCAACUGUUUGUAUACAGAGGUCAUGAUAUUUGCUACACUCCAACCCAAACUCUAAACCUAAACCUUCACAAAUCUGGUGACAUCAUGAAAACAUUAUAUCAACCUUUUAAUUAAUGAGGGCCACUUCAAAUGUCCACGAAGUCAAUUUCCAACAUAAUUCACUAUAUAUCGUUAAGGACA